GCCCGGGUGGUCUAGUGGUAUGAUUCGCGCUUAGGGUUCACCCAAAGCAUAUCUGCGCGAGGUCCCCGGUUCGAUCCCGGGCUCGGGCC
rnacentral:tRNA from 2 species